GCAGUCGACGGAAACGAUGGAGAGCUUGCUCUCCAGGCGUCGAGUGGCGGACGGGUGAGUAAUGCAUAGGAAUCUGCCCAGUAGCGGGGGACAACUUGGGGAAACUCAAGCUAAUACCGCAUACGCCCUACGGGGGAAAGCGGGGGACCUUCGGGCCUCGCACUAUUGGAUGAGCCUAUGUCUGAUUAGCUUGUUGGUAGGGUAACGGCCUACCAAGGCGACGAUCAGUAGCUGGUCUGAGAGGACGAUCAGCCACACUGGGACUGAGACACGGCCCAGACUCCUACGGGAGGCAGCAGUGGGGAAUAUUGCACAAUGGGCGAAAGCCUGAUGCAGCAAUGCCGCGUGUGUGAAGAAGGCCUGCGGGUUGUAAAGCACUUUCAGUUGGGAGGAAAAGCAAUGGGCCAAUACCCCGUUGUCUUGACGUUACCUACAGAAGAAGCACCGGCUAACUCUGUGCCAGCAGCCGCGGUAAUACAGAGGGUGCAAGCGUUAAUCGGAAUUACUGGGCGUAAAGCGCGCGUAGGCGGCUUGGUCAGUCGGAUGUGAAAGCCCCGGGCUUAACCUGGGAAUUGCAUUCGAUACUGCCAGGCUAGAGUGUAGUAGAGGGAAGCGGAAUUCCAGGUGUAGCGGUGAAAUGCGUAGAUAUCUGGAGGAACAUCAGUGGCGAAGGCGGCUUCCUGGACUAACACUGACGCUGAGGUGCGAAAGCGUGGGGAGCAA
rnacentral:rRNA from 1 species